rnacentral:lncRNA from 1 species
UAUAUGAACAUAACAAAUGUCAUUUUGAAAUAAAAUACUUAAUCUUUACAAGACUUGUUUUAAGGAGAAAAUCGAAGGAACCAAUUUAAUCUGUUUUAGAAAAUAUAAAUUAGGUGAAAAAAAUUAUGAAUUAAGUAAAAUAAAACUAAGAUAAAAUAAAAUGACAUCUUAGGGAGUUUGAUAAAAUAAAAUGACAUCUUAGGGAGUUUACCUAGAUUAAUUGAUUAAAAUGUUAGUUAAUACAAAGAUAAGAAUUGAAGUUUGGCCCUUAAUUGGCCCAUCAAUAAAGCUGCCCAGCUUUUGGGCUUUGAAUUAUGGACUUUGGGUCCUCUUUCUGUAGUGUAUACUUUGUGUAUAUCAUCCCUGUUUUUUCUGCGUUUUUCAAUAUAGACGUUGUAUACAGCGUAUAAAACCCUGUAUACUUGCUCCCAGCUUCAUCAUGCCUCAUAUCUGGACGUAUAUCAACCACCUUUUACCUGUAAAGCCCAUAUAUAUGGCAUAUAAGAGUGUAUACCAGAAGCUGUCCAUGGUAUAUUAAUCCAUUUUGUGGACAUGGUAUAGGUCUUGACUCGAUGCAAGUUGGGUUUGAUUCAGCGGAAUGCGAGAAAUGGGAUUCCGAGGGACUCGACGGAAGAGUUCAUGCAUGUAAAAGGGGUAAAGAUUAGUAUAUGAAAGAAUUACUCAAUUAAGCAUUUAAACGUGAUUAAAGGAUUCAAGCAAAAUUAGACACUCCAGACAUGACAACGAAAUAUCUAUAACAGUAAGGAUGAACAAAUCCAUUAGUGUCUCAAAGUGAUUAACUUACACAAAUGACAACAUUCAGAAUAGGAGGCAUUUUGGUUAUUUACUAUUAAAAACAAAACAAAGAAUUCUACUCUACUUGUGCCAAUUCGCAUAGGAAAAACUGAGGACCAAACAAGAUAUAGAUAGUAACGUUUUGCAUCUAUAAAGGCUACAAAAUAUUGCAGCUCUUUCGACAUCAAAAUGAAGACCAAUUAUACAUCCACACUUUAUAGUCUAAAACAGAAUUUUUGAAACGGAAAUAGGCUAGCAUGAAACCCUUUUUUUGGCUGCUCGUAUACAGGAAAGACAACCAUGUUGUUCACAACUUCAGCGUAUUUUUAAGGGAAAAAGCAAAUUCUUGUUCCUGCACAUGAAAAGUUUAAAGGAAAAAAAAAAGAGAAAAAAGAUUGUCUAAAGAACAUUGGCCAAAGCUUCCGAAUACUGAAAAGAGCUUCAAUUUUGGAACCUUUUAUAAGUAUGAAAACGGUAAAACAAAAGCUUAAAAGCUUAGGAUGACAACCAACCAUGGCACAAACCCGUUAAAAGCUUCAAGCUUUUCAACACAUAUCAAAGAUGAAUUAUACUCUAAAUCCCAAAACACACCAAACACACAUAUUUUAAUACAAACCCAAAGCAAUAUAACAAGUCGUAUAACUUGUUACGCCCAGCAAAGAAUCGAAAGAACAACAAAGUAUUUGAUUUACGAUUAUAACUUCCAAAUAAAUAAAUAAAAAAAGAGAAAGGUAGUGUAAAGAUGAUGAAUUUCGUACCCAUUUUGAAGCAGCGAAUUGGGAAUACGAGCUUAUCACGACGGCUUUUUACCACCAAAAAUCGACUUGGAUUUACCGUGCUUGAAUCGUUCUUGCGGAAAUUCAGACUAUUUCAACAAAUUUAAGUGAAUUUUCACAACUUCUUGAUUACGUGGGAUUAGAGUAAUACUCCUUCAAAAUCCUUAAUUUUUUUCACCCUUAAAAAAUUCCUCCUUAUUUCUCUCUAUAUAGGUGGAUAUUUAUAGUGAAUUUUGGAGUUGUUUUAGAGGGAAAGUGGAGGGGUAAAGAAGAAAAAACUAGUUGAGAUUUGAAUUUCAAAAUUGAGAUAAGGUUUGAGCUGAAAUUGUAUGAAAUUCGGACGUUUGUUGUUGAUCUAUUUUUUGUCGUCCUUGGCUAUUUCUGUUAAGCGCAACUAUUGUUGUUGUCGCGUUAUUAAUGUUGUUGUCGUUUGCUGGUGUUGAAACGGGAUUGCGUUUGUACGCUGUUUCCAACAGCUUGUGCACGUAUGUUAUUGUGGUGUAUUGUUGGUGUCGUUAGCUGAUGAGUAAAGG